rnacentral:tRNA from 1 species
UCCCCGGUGGUCCAGAGGCUAAGACCCUGCACUCCUAAUGCAGAGGACCUAGGUUUGAUCCCCAGGCAGGGAA